rfam:Lactobacillus saniviri JCM 17471 = DSM 24301 NODE_121, whole genome shotgun sequence.
GGGGGAUUAGCUCAGCUGGGAGAGCGCCUGCUUUGCACGCAGGAGGUCAUCGGUUCGAUCCCGUUAUCCUCCA